rnacentral:misc_RNA from 1 species
AUGAAAUUUGCCUCCUUUAUUUUGCCCUCUUAAUUUACAAAUUACGUAUACCAUCAAUCAUUAUACAGAUUUAAAAAAUGUGUGCAUAGCACAGGCCAUGGGAACAUUGUAACUCUCAUCUAACCGAUAUGUUUAAGCUCUAAAGCUAAGAAGAAUCGGAACUAACCAUCUCAACCUUUUUGGUCUAAUGUCCUUCAUCUCACCAGUUCACAUGAGGAAUGUUUCUUCUGANAAACCCAAUGGUAGCUGUUAUAAAUAACUACAAGUAAGUCGGCAAAGCCCCCCAACAGUCC